GACGAACGCUGGCGGCGUGCCUAAUACAUGCAAGUAGAACGCUGAAGGAGGAGCUUGCUUCUCUGGAUGAGUUGCGAACGGGUGAGUAACGCGUAGGUAACCUGCCUGGUAGCUGGGGAUAACUUUUGGAAACGAUAGCUAAUACCGCAUAAUAGUAGAUGUUGCAUGACAUUUGCCUAAAAGGUGCAAUUGCAUCACUACCAGUUGGACCUGCGUUGUAUUAGCUAGUUGGUGGGGUAACGGCUCACCAAGGCGACGAUACAUAGCCGACCUGAGAGGGUGAUCGGCCACACUGGGACUGAGACACGGCCCAGACUCCUACGGGAGGCAGCAGUAGGGAAUCUUCGGCAAUGAGCGGAAGUCUGACCGAGCAACGCCGCGUGAGUGAAGAAGGUUUUCGGAUCGUAAAGCUCUGUUGUAAGAGAAGAACGAGUGUGAGAGUGGAAAGUUCACACUGUGACGGUAUCUUACCAGAAAGGGACGGCUAACUACGUG
rnacentral:rRNA from 1 species